UCAAAGAAUGACAUGUUUCCUUCUGUUAGAAAUGCUAUUAGAAAAGCCGUAUCCCAAAAGCUGAAAAUUAAAAACAUUUAAAAACGCUUUUCAAAUGAAAGCUGACGACCUAAAAAGGGCAAUACCGCUGACAUACUUCCGAGCGCUUCUAUUUUUGGUGGAAAUAAUCGCCCACACCACCAACGUGUGAUUGAUAAGAGGCUGUAUGAAUUGUGUUUUCUCCGCGCCUAAAAUUAGGUCAAAACGCACCCGCACAAAUCACGCAAUGAGCCACACUGCUGACUUCAAUCUGAUUGCUUCCGAGCUACUGCUGCUGGUGUUCUCGCGUUCUCAAUUUCGAAUUAUUAUGUGCCUACGGAGGCAAAUGUUGGUUACGGUAUGAUUUCUCUACUUGCCGCGACCCGCAUCCCGCUAGCCGUUCUGGGAAUUUCGCGCGCCCCACGGAGCCCCGCAGCCACCAAUGCCGCCAGAUCGUGAUUAUCUAAUGCGUUCGGUUGGCGGUUGUUUUCCACAUUAAAACUAGCGCUACGAUUGUUAGUCGCGGCGGGAUGCAGCAUAUAUUUGUGUAAAUAGGUUAAC